UCACCAUUCACACUUAAAUAUAACACAGAAAAAGUUACGUGGGUAAUAUGAAAAUAAAACUGUUCAGGUAAACAUUUCACUUGGAAGGCAGUCACUGCUGCUCCUUCUGAGUAACCAUUAUAGGUUUUUAACAGUGAAACAUGUCAUUAUCUUACAUCAGAAAUUCUUUGGCUGGAAUGCUUUAGUAACAUAAGACACUCCUGUACAUAACAAUUCUGACAGAACAAAGGAGUUGAAAGUGAAAAAGCAAAGAUAUUUUAAAGUGUUUG
rnacentral:lncRNA from 1 species